rnacentral:tRNA from 1 species
GUGGGCGUAGCUCAACUGGUUAGAGCGUCAGGUUGUGGCCCUGAAGGUUGGCGGUUCAAGUCCGCUCGCUCACCCA